rfam:Aedes albopictus isolate Foshan contig12868, whole genome shotgun sequence.
GGCUCAGUAGCUUGGUUGGAAAAGCACUUGUCUAGCGAAUAAGGGUCGUGAGUUCAAAUCUCACCUGAGCUG